GAGUUGCAUUGUGUCUUUGUGGACCUGGAGAAAGCAUAUGACAGGGUGCCUCGAGAGGAGUUGUGGUAUUGUUUGAGGAAGUCGGGAGUGGCAGAGAAGUAUGUAAGAGUUGUACAGGAUAUGUACGAGGGAAGUGUGACCGUGGUGAGGUCUGCGGUAGGAGUGACGGAUGCAUUCAAGUUGGAGGUGGGAUUACAUCAGGAAUCGUCUCUGAGCUCUUUCUUAUUUGCAAUGGUGAUGGACAGGUUGACAGACGAGAUUAGACAGGAGACCCCGUGGACUGUGAUGUUUGCUGAUGACAUUGUGAUCUGUAGCGAUAGUAGGGAACAGGUUGAGGAGACCCUGGAGAGGUGGAGAUAUGCUCUAGAGAGGAGAGGAAUGAAGGUCAGUAGGAACAAGACAGAAUACAUGUGUGUAAAUGAAAGGGAGGUCAGUGGAAUGGUGAGGAUGCAGGGAGUAGAGUUGGCAAAGGUGGAUGAGUUUAAAUACUUGGGAUCAACAGUACAGAGUAAUGGGGAUUGUGGAAGAGAGGUAAGAAAGAGAGUGCAGGCAGGGUGGAAUGGGUGGAGAAGAAUGUCAGGAGUAAUUUGUGACAGACGGGUAUCAGCAAGAGUGAAAGGGAAGAUCUACAGGAUGGUAGUGAGACCAGCUCUGUUAUAUGGGUUGAAGAC